GCUUCCGUGGCUCAGUUGGUAGUAGCGCUGGUCUCAUAACAAGUUUAUGACCGAGCUCAAAGCUUGGGUAAUCCAGAGGUCGAGAGUUCGACCCUCUCCGGGAGCA
rnacentral:tRNA from 1 species